GACGAACGCUGGCGGCGUGCUUAACACAUGCAAGUCGAACGGAAAGGCCCUGCUUUUGUGGGGUGCUCGAGUGGCGAACGGGUGAGUAACACGUGUGUAACCUGCCCUUGACUUUGGGAUAACUUCAGGAAACUGGGGCUAAUACCGGAUAGGAGCUCCUGCUGCAUGGUGUGGGUUGGAAAGUUUCGGCGGUUGGGGAUGGACUCGCGGCUUAUCGGCUUGUUGGUGGGGUAGUGGCUUACCAAGGCUGUGACGGGUAGCCGGCCUGAGAGGGGGACCGGCCACAUUGGGACUAAGAUACGGCCCAGACGCCUACGGGAGGCAGCAGUGGGGAAUAUUGCACAAUGGGCGGAAGCCUGAGGCAGCAACGCCGCGUGCGGGAUGACGGCCUUCGGGUUGUAAACCGCUUUCGCCUGGGACGAAGCGUGAGUGACGGUAAUGGGUAAAGAAGCACCGGCUAACUACGUG
rnacentral:rRNA from 1 species